GAGGCGGAGAAAGGAAGCCGGAAAACAGAUUUAAAUCAAGUUUCAGCUGUUGCUUCUGUUUGCCAGUACUGUGAGAGAACGUCGUUACAGCGGAUGUCUAGAUGCUAAAACAAACUCCAGAGCCACUUUUUGAUGAACACGAGUGAGACUGGACGCUGAACACACCUGCGGCAUGAACGUUUACUGGUUCAGCUGCUGCAGCCUGGGCAGAAACGCCAGGUGCCACCACUUCGUCCACGACAUCGUCCAUGAUUGCCGAGCCAUUGUCCGUGAUCACAGAGACGUUGUCCACGAUCGCAGAGUGACUUCGUAUGAUGAAGAAAUUCUUUGAGACCAGGACAGAGGCCUCCAGGUGUCACCACUUCGUCCACCACGUAGUCCACGAUCGCCAAGACAUUGUCCAUGAUCGCAGAGACAUCGUCCAUGAUCGGAGAGACAUUGUUGAGGAUGAGGGAGACAUUGUCCACCAUCAGAGACAUUGUCCACGAUUGCAGUGACCUUGUCAAAGAUGAGAGAGACGUUGCCCAUGAUCAGAGACAUUGUCCAUGCUUCGUAGAGACCUUGCGAUAGAAUCGGCGGAGACGGGGGUCACCGAUUUGACGGCAUUGCCCGCGAUCACGGACAUUGCCAAUGAUCACAGAGACAGCGUCUAUGAUCUCAGAGACAUUGUCCGCGAUCACAGAGAGUCUUCGUACAGUGAAGAACUUCUUUGAGACGAGGACUGAGGCUUCCAGGUGUCACCACUUCAUCCACGACUUCGUCCACGAUCGCUGAGACGUCAUCCACUAUCACAGACUGUCUACAUACAAUGAAAUUCUUUGAGACCAGGACAGAAGUCUCCAGGUAAUUCACAAACCAUUUAAGAUCAACUGUCCAACACAGAGCCAUUGACAUUCAAUUGUUUAUGUUCAGCAUUCAGUAAAUUAGAAAAAGGUAAUGACAAAAGUAAUCUGGAAUAUUAAAAUAAUGAUUAAGUAAAGAGUAUUAAUAGAAGUAAUGUAAAAGUAAUUAGCAAUUUCAAAAGUAAGAUGUAAUAGACAAAGUAAUCUGUUACUAGGUGUAGUUUGGAACAGUAAAAGUUAUCUAUAAUUUUAGAAUUAAUACAUAUUAAGAAAAGUAUUAUGUAAUGGUAAAAGUAAUGUAAUAUUAGAGGUAAAAGUAAAACUAAUCUAUGAUAUAAUAGCAAUACAAAAGAAAGAGUAAUCCAAAAUGGAAGUAAAAAUGUCUCUUAUAUUAAGACAUAAAAAACGCUGCAGUAUAUUAAAGCAUCAAAACAAUCGAAAACGGUCAAAAAAUGUCAUAGUUUAGUAAGGGGUCAAAAACGGUCAAAAAAUGUCAUAGUUUAGUAAGGGGUCAAAAACGGUCAAAAAAUGUCUUAGUUUACUAAGGGGUCAAAAAUGGUCAAAAAAUGUCAUGGUUUAGUAAGGGGUCAAAAAACAUGAAAAAAUGUCAUAGUUUAGUAUGGCGUCAAAAAACAUGAAAAAAUGUCAUAGUAUAGUAUGGCGUCAAAAAUGGUCAAAAAAUGUCAUGGUUUAGUAAGGGGUCAAAAAACAUGAAAAAAUGUCAUAGUAUAGUAUGGCGUCAAAAAUGGUCAAAAAAUGUCAUAGUUUAGUAAGGAGUCAAAAAACAUGAAAAAAUGUCAUAGUAUAGUAUGGCGUCAAAAACGGUCAAAAAAUGUCUUAGUUUACUAAGGGGUCAAAAAUGGUCAAAAAAUGUCAUAGUAUAGUAUGGCGUCAAAAAACAUGAAAAAAUGUCAUAGUUUAGUAAGGGGUCAAAAAACAUGAAAAAAUGUCAUAGUAUAGUAUGGCGUCAAAAAACAUGAAAAAAUGUCAUAGUUUAGUAAGGAGUCAAAAAACAUGAAAAAAUGUCAUAGUUUAGUAAGGGGUCAAAAAAGGUCAAAAAAUGUCAUAGUUUAGUAAGGGGUCAAAAACGGUCAAAAAAUGUCUUAGUUUACUAAGGGGUCAAAAACGGUCAAAAAAUGUCAUAGUUUAGUAUGGCGUCAAAAAACAUGAAAAAAUGUCAUAGUUUAGUAAGGGGUCAAAAAUGGUCAAAAAAUGUCAUAGUUUAGUAAGGGGUCAAAAAACAUGAAAAAAUGUCAUAGUAUAGUAUGGCGUCAAAAAAGGUCAAAAAAUGUCAUAGUUUAGUAAGGGGUCAAAAA